UACCCAGCAACUCCUAUCCCUACCUCCUCGUGGUACUGGCCGGGGUACGAGUAGCCUUAGGGAAGAUCGGGUAACCAACCCCGGUGGGAGCUUUGGUCGUAUGCUAACAGGGG
rnacentral:ribozyme from 1 species